CUCAUCCUGUUACAGAAGAGAGUGAAGGAAUGAUGGACAAGCUGGUGCAGGAUGGCAGCAGCAGGGUGGAAGCCCAGCGUGAGGACUGCGAGAAAGACUUUGUUGGAUGCAGCAGGAAAGCACAGCCGCUGGUGGAUGCCAGGGUCCGCUCCUGAGGCUCUGCGCCAAGCUCUGCCCAGUGCUGAUGGGAUGUCAGUGCCACCUGCUCCUCUCAACAAAAGGUAGGUUCAAUUCAUUUUGGCUCCUGUAGUAUUUGCUACACUUGUGUUCUGCUUCACUUCUCUUUUUUCCAUGUUGCCUGGCGGUGCUUCGCUGGAGUUCCCAUGACCCCCAGGCCCACUUGUGACCAAGUGAGGUGCCAAAAAAAGAGGUGUCUCCUAAACAGGCUUCUGCUGAGUGCUGUCCUCGUCUUGGGGAUUGGCGACUCCACCACCAGAAGUAGCAGGCAUUUUGGGAGGUCCAAGGUUCCGCAGAGAGCAUGUCCUGUUCCUGGUAAAGGUGUGGGCGUUCCUGGACAUAAAGGUAUCUUCAUGCUUUCC